rnacentral:lncRNA from 13 species
AGAGGAGCCACGUGGGCGAGAGUCGGGAGGGGCCCUGCGCCUUACGCCUCCUCUCCUCGGGACACAGGGAGGGCUGGGAGGGAUUUCCCUGGUUUGCCCGAGUGCACAGAUAUUAAUCCCCGCCUUCUCAUCUUCCUGUAGUUCAACUAGGUGUCUCCCUGGUGAAGCGUCAGAUUGGCAAAUCCAGCAGUGUGUGUCCUUCUGACUUCCCAACAAGGUCCAAGUUCAGUUCCAUAUUAGGCAUAAAACUCCUAGUCUCACUCUGUCACCCAAGCUGGAGUGCAGUGGCAUGAUCUUGGUCCACCGCAAUCUUCGCCUCCCGGAUUCAAACAAUUCUUGUGCCUCAGCCUCUGGAGUAGCUAGGAUUACAGAAGACCGGCAUAGCCUUGUCACCAAAAUUCAAGGAUACUAUGAGAAGAGAAAAUUAUGAGUGAAACAUGUUAUUAUCUCAAUGAUGCAGAAAAAGCAUUUGAUAAAAUAUAACAUCAUUUUUUUGAUAAACGGAAAAAUCAUAACUAGGAAUAUAAAGGAACUUCAUUAAUCUAAUAAGGGUCUCUACAAAGAAACA